GUAACUAGGUGUUUUCUGAAAAUAUUACAUCACAUCCAUAAGGAAACAUAAUAUAACUUCGAGUUACUAUGAUCUCUGCCUUCAUUGAUCACCUAUAAAUUACAUUUAGUACUUAGAUAUAAGGACAAUGAUUGUAGUAAAAAAAAAACUGAUACAAAUAUAAAUAAAACCUAUAUCUAAGCAAAUGGUGGAUAAUAAAUGCAAUCAGCUAAGAAAAGUAAGCCCCAACACAGAGUCUUGAACCAGCGCCAAAGGGAACAUAAAAUUUUAGAUAUAAUCGCCUCCAAGUCUUUCCCCUGUUAAUAAAGUUUAAUACAUGUAGAGUAGGAAUCUGGACAAUUGUUCCUUUGUCUCACUGUUCACUUUCUCUCUCGAGAAAAAAGUUUCAGAUCUACUUUUUCUUUUUAUUUUCGUUUUGCCCUGUUCUUCAUGUAGGUCCUGAGCCUUCAAAGGAGUAGCGAAAUCAAGAGUGAGACUUCUUUCUCUUCCGUCAGCUAAGCGGUGGGUUUCUAACAAGCGAUGCGACAGCGACGCAUCCACGGUGGCUGGGAUUCUUUGCCUCUAUAUCAUCGGUUUGAAGACGCCGUGAUGGUUAAAGACUCCCUUGGCUCCUCUGUCGUGGGUGUUUGUUGUGGUCGUGGCGGAAGUUGCUUGUUGGAAGGAGGGUAAGUUAGCUGUCCCUUUGGUAAUUAGCGGUGGAUCUCUUGAUCUUCACCGGCUGUCGUGGAUCUCGGUUUUGGAGGGGGACUGAGCCUUUAACCCUCCUUAAUCUCCUCGAUUAGCUUUUUAAUCAAACCGGUUUGUGUUUGUUUGUCUCGGGUGGUGGUUGUUAUUAACUCUAGGAAGGUGACUGAGGGUUAGGCUUGUUUCGUUGAGUUGCUAGGUAGGGGACUCUUCGUUCACGAAAACCAGCUAGUCGGAAGUUGGGUGUUCCUGGGAGGUGUGUUGCAGAGUUGCGGUUCGCUUGAGUUGACCCGGAGACGGACCCGUAUACUCUGUUUCCAUGAGUAUUUCUUGGGCGGUCAGGCAUCAAAGCAGUCCGCCUCGUAUACGCCGGAUAUGGAUACCGGAGCUUCUGCGGCGGGUCGAUCAGUGCAAGCAAGAUCUUGGCGGCCAGAUUAGGGCGAACGCUCUCUUUUCCUGUUUGAUUUCGGUAAUCCAAAGAUGCCUAAGAAACCAAAUUUCAUGCUCAUUUGUAAUUGGAAACAUAUUAGUCAUAUUUAUAAUGGUUUUGAACUCUUGUAUAAACAUUUUCCCUUUAUCAAUUGAGUUAUAUACGUCCGUUUUCCAAAUUUUAAAUUUCAAAAUGUGUGAAAAAAAAUUUGUAUUUUUAUUAUAAAUAUUUUUUAUGUAAUAAUAUAAAUGGAAAAUAAAUAAGAUUAUAUAAAUAUAUUGGAGAGAGAUUCAAAUUAUUAGAGAG
rnacentral:lncRNA from 1 species